CCAGAAGCAGAUGUGGGUAUUCUUACAAUAAAAGGUCCCAUAUUUCUGCUGAAAAAACCUCAAACAUUUUGCGGCACAAUUUCUGACCAUUGGUUUCAGCCAUUGAGAUGAGUCAUCCAUCUCAUACGCAGUGUACCCACAAAUAAAUUACCCCCCUUCUGGAGACUAUACAUGUGACAGACUUUUGAGAAUAUGAAGUGAGACAAAUGGUGUCUCCUUUUGCUGGCAGAUUUCCAGUUCUCUCUGCAUUGCUUCUCUCCUCAGGAAAUAAGGCACUGAAUAAGGAUCUCUCUUCUUUGGAUCUUGGCUCCUCUUUCACUUGGCUCCUGGAGUGA